rnacentral:rRNA from 1 species
AUUGAACGCUGGCGGCAGGCUUAACACAUGCAAGUCGAGCGGAGAGAGGUAGCUUGCUACUGAUCUUAGCGGCGGACGGGUGAGUAAUGCUUAGGAAUCUGCCUAUUAGUGGGGGACAACAUUUCGAAAGGAAUGCUAAUACCGCAUACGUCCUACGGGAGAAAGCAGGGGAUCUUCGGACCUUGCGCUAAUAGAUGAGCCUAAGUCGGACUAGCUAGUUGGUGGGGUAAAGGCCUACCAAGGCGACGAUCUGUAGCGGGUCUGAGAGGAUGGUCCGCCACACUGGGACUGAGACACGGCCCAGACGCCUACGGGAGGCAGCAGUGGGGAAUAUUGGACAAUGGGCGCAAGCCUGAUCCAGCCAUGCCGCGUGUGUGAAGAAGGCCUUAUGGUUGUAAAGCACUUUAAGCGAGGAGGAGGCUACUUUAGUUAAUACCUAGAGAUAGUGGACGUUACUCGCAGAAUAAGCACCGGCUAACUCUGUGCCAGCCGCCGCUGUAAGAC